UUUCAUGCUGCUUUCAUUUAAGUUUUUAAUUGAAUGUCAAUUAUGAAAAUGUGCCUUGUGAUUUUCGUAAUUGAUUGUUUUUUCAAAUAAACACUUCAUCAUAUAAACAUUCUGCAUGAUCGAGUUAGCAUCCUGCAAAGUUCGAGGGAAAGGUGAUUGACGGCUGCGUUAGUGUCGUGCCACUUCAACUCGAAGACUGAAGAAAGAUCGAGUAGCAAAGCGCGGAGACAAAGCUGCCAACUGGUAUGAGUGUCUAGUUGAUGAGUUUUGUAAGUCUUUAUGUAUUCUUUCUUUCUUAGUGCUUCCUGGCUUGGUAGCCCGAGGAUUUUCCCAGUGGUGGGUUUUGCCUCGUAAAAUCCUACAUCAUGUGUGCACAUUUUAUUUAUCUUUAUAAUUGCAUAUGUGUAGGAUAGUUUAUAUGUGAUGUGAAUGUGGAUUAAUUUGAGAACUGAAAAUUAAAUUGAAAUUUGAAUUGGACUUUUAAAUUGGAACCUAUUCAACCCCCUUUAGGUUAAACUAGUACCAUCCUAGAACUUUCAAGUUGGAUCCAAUAUGAGCACAUAGUGCGGGAGGUGACGUAAAUAAACAGGUUUGUACUUCACAUCUCUGGCUAAAUCACAAUCACCCUAGAUGCAAUUUUAUGAGCUCAACAUUAUUCAAUCACAUAUCACAUCAUCGAUGAUUCAUAUAACCAAACAUAACUUACCUGAACUUACCU
rnacentral:lncRNA from 1 species